GCUGACUUCUUCUUCAUGUGCAAAGAUUUAGCAAUGUUGGCCACUAAUUUGAAAUUCUCGUGUAUACUUCUAGUCUGCACAAAGGCACUUUGGGCAGGAGAGAUCAGCUGCGGUAGCAAUGUAGUCAAGCGCGAUGUAAGAAUUUUGGAGAAUAUCUUAGAGAAGCUAUGAAUCAAGCUGAUCGGCCAAAAAUCCUGAAUGUCCAGGGGAUUUUCUUU
rnacentral:lncRNA from 1 species